rnacentral:rRNA from 1 species
CCUACGGGUGGCAGCAGUGGGGAAUAUUGCACAAUGGGCGAAAGCCUGAUGCAGCGACGCCGCGUGAGCGAUGAAGGCCUUCGGGUCGUAAAGCUCUGUCCUCAAGGAAGAUAAUGACGGGACUUGAGGAGGAAGCCCCGGCUAACUACGUGCCAGCAGCCGCGGUAAUACGUGGGGGGCUAGCGGUAUCCGGAAUUUCUGGGCGGAAAGGGUGGGGAGGGGGUUUGUUAAGUCAGAGGUGAAAGGCUACGGCCAAACCGUAGUAAGCCUUUGAAACUGGGAAACUUGAGUGCAGGAGAGGAGAGUGGAAUUCCUAGUGUAGCGGUGAAAUGCGUAGAUAGUAGGAGGAACACCAGUUGCGAAGGCGGCUCUCUGGACUGUAACUGACACUGAGGCACGAAAGCGUGGGGAGCAAACAGGAUUAGAUACCCCGGUAGUC